AAAUUGAAGAGUUUGAUCAUGGCUCAGAUUGAACGCUGGCGGCAGGCCUAACACAUGCAAGUCGAACGGUAACAGGAAGCAGCUUGCUGCUUYGCUGACGAGUGGCGGACGGGUGAGUAAUGUCUGGGAAACUGCCUGAUGGAGGGGGAUAACUACUGGAAACGGUGGCUAAUACCGCAUAACGUCGCAAGACCAAAGAGGGGGACCUUCGGGCCUCUUGCCAUCRGAUGUGCCCAGAUGGGAUUAGCUGGUUGGUGAGGUAACGGCUCACCAAGGCGACGAUCCCUAGCUGGUCUGAGAGGAUGACCAGCCACACUGGAACUGAGACACGGUCCAGACUCCUACGGGAGGCAGCAGUGGGGAAUAUUGCACAAUGGGCGCAAGCCUGAUGCAGCCAUGCCGCGUGUAUGAAGAAGGCCUUCGGGUUGUAAAGUACUUUCAGCGGGGAGGAAGGUGUUGUGGUUAAUAACCACAGCAAUUGACGUUACCCGCAGAAGAA
rnacentral:rRNA from 1 species